rnacentral:lncRNA from 1 species
CUGGGCCAAAUUAAACCAAACUUGGCCACAAUCAUCAUUGGGGUAUUUAGUUUAAAAAAUGUGUGGCGUGACCCAGCCAACCAACCAAGAUGGCCGCCAUGGCUAAAAAUAGAACAUAGGGGUAAAAUGCAGUUUUUGGCUUAUAACUCAAAAACCAAAGCAUUUAGAGCAAAUCUGACAUGGGUAAAAUUGUUUAUCAGGUCAAGAUCUAUCUGCCCUGAAAUUUUCAGAUGAAUCGGACGACCUGUUGUUGGGUUGCUGCCCCUGAAUUGGUAAUUUUAAGGAAAUUUUGCAGUUUUUGGUUAUUAUCUUGAAUAUUAUUAUAGAUAGAGAUAAACUGUAAACAGCAAUAAUGUUCAGCAAAGUAAGAUUUACAAAUAAGUCAACAUGACCGAAAAGGUCAGUUGACCCCUUUAGGAGUUAUUGCCCUUUAUAGUCAAUUUUUAACCAUUUUUCGUAAAUCUUAGUAAUCUUUUACAAAAAUCUUCUUCUCUGAAACUACUGGGCCAAAUUAAACCAUACUUGGCCACAAUCACAAUUGGGGUAUCUAGUUUAAAAAAUGUGUGGCGUGACCCGGCCAACCAACCAAGAUGGCCGCCACAGCUAUAAAUAGAACAUAGGGGUAAAAUUCAGUUUUUGGCUUAUAACUCAAAAACCAAAGCAUUUAGAGCAAAUCUGACGGGGUAAAAAUGAUUAUCAGGUCAAGAUCUAUCUGCCCUGAAAUUUACAGAUGAAUCGGACAACCUGUUGUUGGGUUGCUGCCCCUGAAUUGGUAAUUUUAAGGAAAUUUUGCUGUUUUUGGUUAUUUAUCUUGAAUAUUAUUAUAGAUAGAGAUAAACUGUAAACAGCAAUAAUGUUCAGCAAAGUAAGAUUUACAAAUAAGUCAACAUGACUGAAAUGGUCAGUUGACCCCUUUAGGAGUUAUUGCCCUUUAUAGUCAAUUUUUAACCAUUUUUUGUAAAUCUUAGUAAUCUAUUACAAAAAUCUUCUCCUCUGAAACCACUGUGCCAAAUUAAACCAAACUUGGCCACAAUCAUCAUUGGGGUAUCUAGUUAAAAAAAUGUGUGGCGUGACCCGGUCAACCAACCAAGAUGGCCGCCACGGCUAAAAAUAGAACAUAGGGGUAAAAUUCAGUUUUUGGCUUAUAACUCAAAAAUCAAAGCAUUUAGAGCAAAUCUGACAUAAGUAAAAAUGAUUAUCAGGUCAAGAUCUAUCUGCCCUGAAAUUUUCAGAUGAAUCGGACGACCUGUUGUUGGGUUGCUGCCCCUGAAUUGGUAAUUUUAAGGAAAUUUUGCUGUUUUUGGUUAUUAUCUUGAAUAUUAUUAUAGAUAGAGAUAAACUGUAAACAGCAAUAAUGUUCAGCAAAGUAAGAUUUACAAAUAAGUCAACAUGACUGAAAUGGUCAGUUGACCCCUUUAGGAGUUAUUGCCCUUUAUAGUCAAUUUUGAACCAUUUUUCGUAAAUCUUAGUUAUCUUUUACAAAAAUCUUCUCCUCUGAAACUACUGGGCCAAGUUCAUUAUAGAUAGAGAUAAUUGUAAGCAGCAAGAAUGUUCAGUAAAGUAAGAUUUACAAACACAUCACCAUCACCAAAAACACAAUUUUGUCAUGAAUCCAUCUGCGUCCUUUGUUUAAUAUUCACAUAGACCAAGGUGAGCGACACAGGCUCUUUGGAGCCUCUAGUUUU